GAGCACACCCACUCGGGGACAAGGGAUUACAGGGAGGACCCAGUCUCCUACAAAGAGCAAGAGCUGCAGCUCUAACAGAGUCCACCAUGGAACCACUGGUGCCCAUCUCUGAACAAUGAUCAGGAGGCCCGGAAACACUCUUCCUGUGUCCCCAUGGAUAUGGCGUUCUGCCUCCUGAGUAACCUGAUGAGUCUGUACCAGAGGCCAACAGUGACAGAAGCACAAGGCGACUUCCAGCUUGGCAAGGAAGGGAAACGGUGUGGAGAACACAGGCGAAUACUCAAAGCACAUAGUAAGCAUUUACUCCGCACAACCCAGGAAAGUGCAAGAAAAAAUCCUGCGAACGAACAUUCCCGACCCGCCAUCUGGCUCACCGCACCCCGUCCUGCCCAGAUCCCGGACCCUGACAGCAAAGCCGCACCCGGAAGAGGGAGACCCCGACUCCCGCUCCUACGGGGACCCCCAGCCGCCUACCCCCUGAGGGGUGGACCCCCGACUCCCGCCAAGGGAGAUCUUCCGCAGGAGGGUCCUCGAACCCUGCACCCCAGGGAAGGACUCCACCCUCGAUACCCUGCCCAGAGAAGGGGACCCAAAACGAUCUCCGCCCGAGAAGGGGACCCUGACCCUGAGGAAGGGACUUCGACCCUGAUCCCCGCCCCGAAGAGGGGACCCCGACCUUGAUCCCCGCCCCAAUAGGGGACCUCGACCCCGAUCCCGAAACUGAGGAGGGAACCGACCCGACCUGCGCCCGCGCUCGCAGGCCCGCCCGGCGGCCUCGGACCGGGAGGAGCGACGCGGCGUCCGCGCGCGCGCAGCCAAUCGCGAGCCGCCC
ensembl:lncRNA